GAUAAACGCUGGCGGCGUGCAUGAGACAUGCAAGUCGAACGGACGAUCGAGGCUUGCUUCGACCGUUAGUGGCGGACGGCUGAGUAACGCGUAGGUGACCUGCCCCGAAGUGGGGAAUAACUGCCCGAAAGGGUGGCUAAUACCGCAUGUGGUGGUGUGUUCAAUCACACCAGUAAAGCCGCAAGGCGCUUCGGGAGGGGCCUGCGUCCGAUUAGCUCGUUGGUGGGGUAACGGCNCACCAAGGCGACGAUCGGUAGGUGGUCUGAGAGGACGAUCACCCAGACUGGGACUGAGACACGGCCCAGACUCCUACGGGAGGCAGCAGUCGGGAAUUUUGCGCAAUGGACGAAAGUCUGACGCAGCAACGCCGCGUGAGGGAUGAAGGCC
rnacentral:rRNA from 1 species